GUGCUCGCUUUGGCAGCACAUAUACUAAAAUUGGAAUGAUACAGAGAAGAUUAGCAUGGCCCCUGCACAAGGAUGACAGGCAAAUCUUUGAAGUGUUUUAUGUUUUA
rnacentral:snRNA from 1 species